UUGACUGUGCUAAGGUAGCAUAAUAAAUUGGCUUUUAAUUGAAGUCGNGNAUGAANGGNUGUUUGNNGNUANUCNGUCUUGUUUUUAUUUUUUAAAAAUUACUAAUGAGGUGAAAAUUCCUCAAUAUUAUCUGAUAGACGAGAAGACCCUAAGAAUUAUUACAACUAUUAAAAAAUUAAUAAAAGUUUUUGUUGGGGCAACAACUUUGAAAAUAAAUAACCAAAGUAAGUUUAUUUAAACAUAAAAAUUAUAUUAAAAGUGAAUUUAAUUACCUUAGGGAUAACAGCAUAAUUAUAUAUUUUAGAUUGUGACCUCGAUGUUGGAUUAAGGCCU
rnacentral:rRNA from 1 species